GGGCGCGAUUCACAUCUCAACCGAAAUAUUUGUAAAGCGAUACGAACGAGUUACGAGAUGAAAUCCGCAAUGUUUAAAAACGCGAUUCAUAGCACACAUACUUUGAUCUCGUUUUCAUAUCGCUAGUUCGUAUUUGGAUGGCUUGAGUGAAAUUAAUGAAACUAUAUUUUUUUUAAUUGCCAUGCAAAAAUUAUAAAUACUACCACUAAUUGUUUUAAAUAAUUUUGUUCCUACAAUAUAUUUUGUUGGAAUUAGUGUCGAUAGCAAGUAUCAAGAAACAGCUUUUUAAUUCAACGUUGAAGAAAUUCAUAACCUGUGGCACUUUUGACAGCCGCCAUGUUUUCUCCAUAAAAACAUUGAUUUUCUUUGCUCAUUUUCGUGUCAACGUAGUUUUUUUGGAAAAUAAGAAGAAAGGAAGUUUAACUUACUUAGAGAAAUACGACUGAGACAUAAACACAAGCAGCAGCCGAUGUGCUUGAGUAGCAGAAGGAGCAACUGCGUUGUGAGAGUGCCACGGCUUCAGCCCUCACAAUGAUAGCUGAUUAGCUGAAGUAACGAACAGACAGGCUGCAGUCAAUGAGAGGCUUCUUGAGGAGGGGUUCCUCAUAUGGAAAAAGAUUUUAGCGGCGACGCAGUUGCGCGACCAGUGAAGCUCUGGCUCCGCGACCGGCGUGGAGCGCGCGGUCAGCGCGGCGCUGCUGCGGCUGCUGCGCGGGAGGAUCCCGUCCCUGCGCAUGCGCCUGGCCUUCAAUGACCUCACGCCUCUCUUCUUCCUAUUCUUCAUGCGUCAAUUCAAACAGAGGAGCACCUGUGAUUACUGAUUACCUAAGUUCCUAUAUACAAUAAUAGUUUAAUAAUUGUUAACAAAAUAUUGUAUAUAUAAGUAUUAAUAAUUACUUAUACAAAAGGCUAAAAGCAUUUUGUACCAGCCAACCUAUAGGAGAGAAUAUGAGAAAAAUAAUAAGACUUUAAUCUUUGAUUGCCAUUAUCUGUAGCUUUAUUAAGUGGUAAAGGGACCUAAUUAAUACCUAUAUUUUUUUAGUAUUUGUGAUAAUUCAUAGAAUUUAUUAGUUCUAUCAAUAAAUAAAAUAUACAUGCAUUACAAUGUGUUUAAUUCAUUAACUUACAAUUUGCACACUGAGGGAA